AACGAACGCUGGCGGCGCGCCUAAUACAUGCAAGUCGAGCGAGAAGACGUAGCAAUACGUUUGUAAAGCGGCGAACGGGUGAGGAAUACAUGGGUAACCUACCCUCGAGUGGGGAAGUAACUAGCCGAAAGGUUAGCUAAUACCGCGUACGCUCCUUGGACUUCGGUUCAGGGAGGAAAGCGAUACCGUGGGUAUCGCGCUCUUGGAUGGGCUCAUGUCCUAUCAGCUUGUUGGUGAGGUAACGGCUCACCAAGGCUUCGACGGGUAGCUGGUCUGAGAGGACGGAUCAGCCACACUGGCACUGCGACACGGGCCAGACUCCUACGGGAGGCAGCAGUAAGGAAUAUUGCGCAAUGGGCGAAAGCCUGACGCAGCGACGCCGCGUGGGGGA
rnacentral:rRNA from 1 species